UACAGCCAUAUCACACUGAAACACUGGUUCCUCUACGAUCAACAAAGUUAAGCAACUUUGAGCCUGGUCAGUACCUAGAUGGGUGACCACUUGGGAAUACCAAGUGCUACAAG